rnacentral:tRNA from 1 species
GGGGAUUUAGCUCAGUGGUAGAGCGCUUGCCUAGCAAGUGCUAGGCCCUGGGUUCGGUCCCCAGCUCUG